rnacentral:rRNA from 1 species
AGCGAACGUUAGCGGCGGGCCUAACACAUGCAAGUCGUACGCGAAAGCCUUCGGGCUUAGAGUGGCGCACGGGUGAGUAACACGUAGGCAAUCUGCCCUCCGGCGGGGGACAACCAUCCGAAAGGGUGGCUAAUACCGCAUAAGACCACAGCGGCUUCGGCUGCAGAGGUAAAAGAUGGCCUCUCCUUGGAAGCUAUCGCCAGAGGAUGAACCUGCGGACCAUCAGCUAGUUGGCGGGGUAAUGGCCCACCAAGGCUAAGACGGUUAGCUGGUCUGAGAGGAUGAUCAGCCACACUGGCACUGAAACACGGGCCAGACUCCUACGGGAGGCAGCAGUGGGGAAUAUUGGACAAUGGGCGCAAGCCUGAUCCAGCUACGCCGCGUGAGUGAUGAAGGCCUUCGGGUUGUAAAGCUCUGUGGGGAGGGACGAAAAAGGCGGAUAAGAAACGAUCUGCCCUUGACGGUACCUCCUUAGCAAGCACCGGCUAACUCUGUGCCAGCAGCCGCGGUAA